GUCUACAGCCAUGCCAUUCUGAAUGCACCCGAUCUCGUCUGAUCUUGGAAGCUAAGCAGAGUCGGGCCUGGUUAGUACUUGGAUAAAAAUGUGUACCAGAAUCUCAGAUAUGGCGAUU
rnacentral:rRNA from 1 species